AUGGAGAGUUUGAUCCUGGCUCAGGAUGAACGCUAGCGGGAGGCUUAAUACAUGCAAGUCGAGGGGUAGAUAUCUUUCGGGAUAUUGAGACCGGCGCACGGGUGCGUAACGCGUAUGCAACCUGCCUUACACUGGGGGAUAGCCCGGAGAAAUCCGGAUUAAUACCCCAUAAUAUUAUUGAAUCGCAUGGUUUGAUAAUUAAAGAUUCAUUGGUGUAAGAUGGGCAUGCGUCUGAUUAGCUAGUUGGUAAGGUAAUGGCUUACCAAGGCAACGAUCAGUAGCGGGUCUGAGAGGAUGAUCCGCCACACUGGUACUGAGACACGGACCAGACUCCUACGGGAGGCAGCAGUAGGGAAUAUUGGACAAUGGGCGAGAGCCUGAUCCAGCCAUCCCGCGUGCAGGAAGAAUGCCCUCUGGGUUGUAAACUGCUUUUAUACAGGAAGAAAAAGAGUCAUGCGUGACUUACUGACGGUACUGUAUGAAUAAGCACCGGCUAACUCCGUGCCAGCAGCCGCGGUAAUACGGAGGGUGCAAGCGUUAUCCGGAUUCACU
rnacentral:rRNA from 13 species